CUCUCUCUCUCUCUCUCUCUCUCUCUCUUUCUUCCCGUCAAUAAAAUAACCAAGAAGAGAGAGUUGGCUCUCUCUUUCUCUCCCGCUUCCUUCCUUCUUUCCGACGGAAAGGAGAGUGCUCGGCAACAGGUGGCCCAUGGCCGGCGACGCCCCCUGGUCAUCGGCCUGUGGCGGUGCCACGCCCGGCGACGGCUGGCCGGAACGGAAGAGGAGAAGGCCGAACAGGGCUCGGUUUCUCCAUCAAUCCGGCGGCUUCCCGGCCAUGUUCCAAAGAAGUACUGGCCAAAGACGAAGGAGAAGGAGGAGAGGGUCCUCACCUUGCCUUCGGCGAGAUCCUCCCGACCGGAUCGACGGCGAACGCUCCGAUCCCUCCCGCAGCAAGGGUCCAACCUAUGCUGGGGGCAGAGAACGCCUGCAAGUCGGGCAUUCCAUCUUUAUAUCCAUCCAUCUUUGUAAGCAACCCGAAUGGAAGAAAUGAUCACAAGGUGUCACCUGCAGGAUGAGAGCCUACUAAGCCGAACUUUCUCCAAGAAAACAAGUAAAACUAGCAUUUUUGCAUGUCCGAGAAAUUGAAGGCAAAGAGGUUUCCAAGUACCAUGUAAUCAGUUGACCGCUGUGCAAGAUCGAUGGCAGUCAUGCAAAUGACACAAUCAGUAGUUUGAGUUGUAUCACCCUCGACAUAAUUAAAAAAACAGUAAUGUACCAGAACUUCAUGCUUUUCAGACAUUAGACAAUACUUAUUCGAGUGCAUUAUUGCAGCAGGCACAAAAACUAGAAAAUGUAGUUUAUAAUUUUCCAUCACGGAGCAUUUCUACCA